GCGAUUAGGGGUAAACUGAAAAACCGAAAGGUCGAAGGGAGAAAUUCAUUCGCGUUUCGACGUCGGCGUCGGAAGUUCGAGUGACGGAAAGGUCGCGCUCACGCGUGUUCCUUUACGCACCGUUCAUCCGUUUCGAACCGAUGGCGAACGCGUGCACUUUUCUCCUGGUAGGACGUCGCGAUCCGUUGGGUGUCGGUCUACGGCUCGCGGUGGAGCCCGUUCGUCCCCUUUAUCGGGGUUUCGAAUGGACCCGCGUGUCCCGGCCGACCCGCUCGACGGUAUAAGAAAGGUUCGGGGCCGCUAUCUAUUAGNGUCCGGCUCUAGACAAGCGUGUCAGAUUUUGUCGGCNAUNNNACAUAGNGCNGAUUCAGACCUGUGAAGACUGUUNGUNGAGAAUGUCUCAGACANACCCCCAUAACCGAUCUGCGGCGCUAUAGCUUUGGGUACUUUCAGGACCCGUCUUGAAACACGGACCAAGGAGUCUAGCAUAUGCGCGAGUCAUUGGGAAUUAUUAAACCUAAAGGCGUAAUGAAAGUGAAGAUCUUCGCUUGCGAAGAUCGAGGGAAGACGAGCUGUUUACCCUUAAAAGUAGCAGUUCCGCAUUCCCGGGGCGUCUCGUUCUCAUUGCGAGAAGAGGCGCACCAAGAGCGUAUACGCUGGGACCCGAAAGAUGGUGAACUAUGCCUGGUCAGGACGAAGUCAGGGGAAACCCUGAUGGAGGUCCGUAGCGAUUCUGACGUGCAAAUCGAUCGUCGGAACUGGGUAUAGGGGCGAAAGACUAAUCGAACCAUCUAGUANCUGGUCC
rnacentral:rRNA from 1 species